rnacentral:rRNA from 1 species
CGGUACGUACUGGCAUUGUUGGUUUCUCCCUUCUGACGAACCAUAAUGUCAUUUAUUUGGUGUUGUGGGGAAUCAGGACUGUUACUUUGAAAAAAUUAGAGUGUUUAAAGCAGGCUCACGCUUGAAUACAUUAGCAUGGAAUAAUGAAAUAGGACGUUUGAUUCUAUUUUGUUGGUUUCUAGGAUCGACGUAAUGAUUAAUAGGGAUAGUUGGGGGCAUUAGUAUUCAAUUGUCAGAGGUGAAAUUCUUGGAUUUAUUGAAGACUAACUACUGCGAAAGCAUUUGCCAAGGAUGUUUUCAUUAAUCAAAAACGAAAGUUAGGGGAUCGAAGACGAUCAGAUACCGUCGUAGUCUUAACCAUAAACUAUGCCGACUAGGGAUCGGAUGAUGUUAAUUUUUUAAUGACUCAUUCGGCGCCUUACG